GCCCAUGCCAUGCUGAAUAUACCGGUUCUCGUUAGAUCACCGAAGUCAAACAUCAUUGGGCGCAGUCAGUACUUGGGUGGGUGACCACCUGGGAACAUCGCGUGCCGUU
rnacentral:rRNA from 1 species